CCGUUAUAUGACCAUUAUGAGUGGUCGAGAACCUUAUGGAGAAGUUUAUCUCUGUUUAACUGGUAUUUUUCUUCUUAAUCUUGAUGGUGAUUGUUGAUGCUUAUAUGGUGCUAAGGGCUGAGGUAAGUUGACUGUCUAUGAGUUUUCCGUAACAGUUGUGUUGUAAGUUACACGUUUGGUUUUAUUGUUCUGAGUUAAUGAAAUUGUUGUUAUCACUCUUUAAUUGUUUGAUGGACACAGCUUUAUCUUCUUGUGUGUAUGUUUUAUAUUCACACCAGGUAUGAGAUUUGAAAUGUUUAAUUGCAAAGAGAAAUGAACAUAAGUCCUCUAAAAGAAAGAAGCUACUCUAAUUUAAAAAUAUAAUAAAACACUUAAAAUAGGUCAUUCUGUUUUGUAAUUCCAAAAAAAAAUGCAGUCGGAUUAUUUAGAAAAAAAUAAUAAACAAAGUGGUUCUAAUUAGUUAAAAAGAAUGAAAAUCUGUAAGAAAUCACUUAAAAAUAAGAAUGUAUUGUUUUUUACUUCAGUUUUAAUAGAAUAGAUUAUUGUUAACCAAACUUUCUUAACUGGUUAAACCAAAAAAAAAUCUAAUUUUAAUCAAACCCGGGUUAUUUAUCAGUUUAUUGUUUUAUUCUUAACUAGAUAUGUGAAAGAAGAACGUGAUCCGCAAGUCGUGUCCAAACAGCUCAAUAGCAGAACGGGUGUGUACAUAUUUAUACAACCUACAAUUUAUUGUGGAACGACCACACAUACCAAAAGAAAAUCAAUUCUAAUAUGGGUUGGAAUACUUGAACGCGGACCAGUACGCUUGAAAUUUCUUAGACCAAUAAUUUAACCGGAAAAUAGUAAUAUAAGAAAUAUAUAUAUAUAUAUAUAUAUAUAUAUAU